rnacentral:sRNA from 1 species
UACGCGUGAUGGACUCGGUGUGCCGAGGU